GACAUGACUCCUUUUCUUGGAAAUUGUAGGCUCACUUUGAGGCCGCCUACGCGGCCGCUUAUGAGAACUAUUUGACGGUUGUAGCAGAGUGGGACCUCAAGAGAGCGGCUUGGGAAGAGUACCAGGAGGCGACGAGUCGUGCGGUCAGGACGUUCUUCCAGACUGGAGAGAGGAUCGCACUUCCGGAAGAGGAGCCACCUAGGCCGGGGCCGACUCCAGUGUGCCCAUCGAGGGAAGCUUUCGCGGCCACAUACUACGCACGGACUCCGGGCACGGGAAGUUCGCGGAACCGACCCUCUCCUGGUUCGUCGCGCGAGGGCACACCGAUGCACCCCGGCCGCCAUUCUCCCGGUGCUUCAGGGUUUUCACCUGCUGGCGAUGGUUC